rnacentral:rRNA from 1 species
CAGGUCUUGACAUCCUCUGACACUCCUAGAGAUAGGACGUUCCCUUCGGGGGACAGAGUGACAGGUGGUGCAUGGUUGUCGUCAGCUCGUGUCGUGAGAUGUUGGGUUAAGUCCCGCAACGAGCGCAACCCUUGAUCUUAGUUGCCAGCAUUCAGUUGGGCACUCUAAGGUGACUGCCGGUGACAAACCGGAGGAAGGUGGGGAUGACGUCAAAUCAUCAUGCCCCUUAUGACCUGGGCUACACACGUGCUACAAUGGAUGGUACAAAGGGCUGCAAAACCGCGAGGUCGAGCAAAUCCCAAAAAACCAUUCUCAGUUCGGAUUGUAGGCUGCAACUCGCCUACAUGAAGCUGGAAUCGCUAGUAAUCGUGGAUCAGCAUGCCACGGUGAAUACGUUCCC